UACGAAGGGGGCUAGCGUUGUUCGGAAUUACUGGGCGUAAAGCGCGCGCAGGCGGUCCUUUAAGUCAGGGGUGAAAUCCCAGAGCUCAACUCUGGAACUGCCUUUGAUACUGGGUGUCUUGAGUAUGGAAGAGGUGAGUGGAAUUCCGAGUGUAGAGGUGAAAUUCGUAGAUAUUCGGAGGAACACCAGUGGCGAAGGCGGCUCACUGGUCCAUUACUGACGCUGAGGUGCGAAAGCGUGGGGAGCAAACAGG
rnacentral:rRNA from 1 species